UGUACUAGCAAACCUGGAAAAUGAAAAAAGAGAAAAUGCCCUUUUUAUUAAGAUUAUCUACGGAAAGCAAAAAAAAAAUGGAACUAAAAAAUGAAAAAGAAGCUACAAGAACACAAAAUAACCUGGAAUUAAAUCAGAAACCAGAAUGUUCACAAGAAACAAAGGAAGAGAUUACAACCACUCCACGCAACCUGACUCGGAAACGACUUCCCGGGCUAGAGCAUGGGCAGCAUGAUUCGCAGAUCGCCUAGCAAAACAAAAAAAUAAAUCAUGAAUCUGGGAUGCAGUUUCUUUUACAUCAUCAAUAAUAAAACCAAAAGAAGAAUUAAAAGAUUCAGAUGAUAACGCAUAAAACACAAGCUGGAAUCAGUUUCAACAUCCACAUCACCAAAAUCCAAUUCCUUCAGCCAGCUAAGAGCUUCUCGGAUGCUCACCGCUUUCGCCUCUUUGACAUUGAAAGACCCCACACAAGUCCUAGAUUUUACUGCAAUGAAACAGCCUUCAUCAUCUCGAACAAUCUAGCCCAUUCCCCAAUACCCACCCAAACACCUACUACCCACCUCCAUUACAAAUUCAUGAAGAAGGCAAUGCUUCACACCUUUAUGAAACACCACCCCCCCAUUCUGUAUUUUACCCAUUCCAAUCCUUGUGAUUACCUCCCACCAGCCAAGGGCGAGAUUAAGAUCUUAAAAGAAAGGAUAUAAACAUUCACAAAGAUGGCCAAGGAGGGCACGGCUAAUUUAAAAGCCGAAAUCAAGAGCGAACUGAAGGAAUAUCUUGUUACCCUCCGGGAGGAAGGUCUUCCAUUAGAAGAGAUUGAAACGAAAAUGCUCUCUAUGAUGGAGGAGCUCAUGAAGACAAACUCAUUACGGGUUAACUACCCCAUUAUAGAUGAUCUCCCGACUUUUGAAGCCAAUCCGAGGGUUGUACAUAAGGAUGAAGCUUGAAUUACAUUUUUUAAGAGAACCUCCCUACCGGCGCGGGACAAGAAUUUUGAGUUCCAGCUUCAGACCUUGUUCAGAAUUUUCCCUUUCCAGAAGCCUAGGAUUUCCUUCUUACGCCUGCCAAUCAAUGAUGGGAGACCCAAAUAUUUGUCUGAAGUAUCCCCCUCACGAACACCUAGCACCAUGGCUACCUCAUUUCGGACUUGCUGGUGUACAUUUGAAUUGAAACAGAUCAUAGACUUGUCAUAAUUUAUUUGUUGACCUGAGGCUUUCAAAUAGUUAUCCAAGAUCCAAUUCAUCAUUGCACUCUCAUUAGGAUUUGCACGAAAAAAAAAAAGAAGAAGAAGGAAACAAUCAUCAACAAAUAAUAAAUA